rnacentral:rRNA from 1 species
AUUGAACGCUGGCGGCAGGCCUAACACAUGCAAGUCGAGCGGUAGCACAGAGAGCUUGCUCUCGGGUGACGAGCGGCGGACGGGUGAGUAAUGUCUGGGAAACUGCCUGAUGGAGGGGGAUAACUACUGGAAACGGUAGCUAAUACCGCAUAAUGUCGCAAGACCAAGAGGGGGACCUGCGGGCCUCUUGCCAUCAGAUGUGCCCAGAUGGGAUUAGCUAGUAGGUGGGGUAACGGCUCACCUAGGCGACGAUCCCUAGCUGGUCUGAGAGGAUGACCAGCCACACUGGAACUGAGACACGGUCCAGACUCCUACGGGAGGCAGCAGUGGGGAAUAUUGCACAAUGGGCGCAAGCCUGAUGCAGCCAUGCCGCGUGUAUGAAGAAGGCCUUCGGGUUGUAAAGUACUUUCAGCGGGGAGGAAGGUGUUGUGGUUAAUAACCACAGCAAUUGACGUUACCCGCAGAAGAAGCACCGGCUAACUCCGUGCCAGCCGCCGCAGUAACAC